CACUUUGCAACUGUCUGUGCUUAGCUGUGCAGACAGCCCUGCAGGCAGGCAGGUGUUGUUAGUAGUGUGCACGGCACAGUGGACUACGGACAGACAGCUCUCCCUCUUCAGAGGUUCUUCCUAUACAUCUGUUGGAAAGAGCUGACUCUGUCCUGCUGCACUACUCCAAGCAUCAGUCUGGGGCAGCUGCAUGCGUGGUACCCGCUCCUGUGCCAUGGGAUCCCCAGCUUUAGCUCCAGCACAAGGAUCAGCACCCACCACAGUAUGAAAAUUUGUCCAUCGAUCAGACCACGGAAUAUGUAACUUAUAGGUCAGAGAAAUACCAGCACGAGGCCUUGCACUUUAUGUGUGUGAAAAUGCUCUUCCAGAAUGCAUCCAUUUUUUUAAGUGAAGCAAUUGGAGCAAGAUGGUCAGAAAUUUUUGUUUUACUAAUGAGAUCAAGCUUUACUUAGGGGAAAAAAAGUCUCAUUAUUAUUCUUUUUAGAACUAUAUCAGUUUUCAGUUGAAUACUAGACACAGUAUCCGGAACACAUAAAGCAGUAUCCAGAACAAAUAACUGCAUAAGGCAGCAAUUGCUUUUCGUUUCAAUACUCAUAUUUACAAACACUGGAUAAUCGCAGGGUUCCUACUUUUAAUGUGGCCCAUGAUAUUAAAUGAUUUGUGAACUGUGAGCAAGCUUCUUACAAGUAUUACAAUGGGUUGUAAAAGUACUUCUUAUUGUGAAUUCCAGC
rnacentral:lncRNA from 1 species